CGAGAGGGAGUGACAGUCAGGGACGUGCGUUCCCUGGGCAGGGGGCAACGUGCGCCCACUCGCCCUGGGUGAGAAGAAUCUCCCCCAACCUGCCAAGGGGCUCCAGGACUGAGUCCUGGGGGUGACACGUGGCGAGGAUCGGCUGGCAGGCCCGCUAGGUGGAGGCUGGACUCGGGGUCCCGGCUCUGACGUGUCCAGGACUGACACGUGGAGCUCGGCGCGUCGGGUGGGCGCAGACUCCAACUCCCUCCUCGCCGAAGAGGACCGCCCGAAACGCCGGCCCCCAGCCCAGGGGGUCGGGAUACGGGGUGGGGAGGGGACCGAGGGGAGAGCCGGGCCUAGUUGUCGAGAAGUUCUGACAGUCUUGCGGAGGGAGGAGCUGGGCAGAGACGGCCGGGGGCAUCCGGAGGUUGAACAAAGCUGCUCCAGCAUGUGCCUCCUCAAAUGAAGACAAUGAAUGACACUCUUGGCUCUCCUGUAGAGGAGGCCUGCCAGAUCCUUGUCCCAGAGCACAGGCCCUGUCACAGCCUCCAGGGUUCAGAGACACGGAGCAGUUCUAGACUGACUGACACGCGUUCCUCCACGUGCUUGUGCAUCUUCCCUGGUCCCUGGGGAUCCAAGCAAUCUCCCCAUAAUGUGAAGCUUUAGUGAAAUGGAAAUAUAGCUGUACUCCAAACCCCCAAGGCUCUUGGCUCCAUCCCAUGGCUCAGUAGUGCCUGGACUUUGGCAAUUUGAAGUAAAACUUCAGAAACAUAUUAGGGGAGUUCCCUGGUGGCUCAGUGGGUUAAGGAUCCAGGGUUGUCAUUGUUGUGACUCUGGUUACAGCUGUGGCUUGGGUUUAACCCCUGGCCCAGGAACUGCCACAAGCCUCAGCCAAAAAAACCCCAAGAAAGAAACAACAGAAUGUAUUUGGCACUGUCAUCAGUUUGCCAACUUUCUCCUUUGCAAGACCAGACACUGAAAACUUAGACGUUGUCUCCAUUAUUCACUUCUCUUCUGACCAGCAAUAACCCCACUAAGCAAGGCUGGGGGCACACUGCCCUGCUUACAGCAUGUGGUCCUCAAACUAAAGCAUGUGUAAGAAGCAUCUGGAAAGUUAAGACCAGUGUCUGGGUCCAGCCCUCCAUCCCGAUAGUGCUGGUCUUGGGUGGAGGUUGGGGUUCUGCUUUUCUUUCUUCAU